CAGGACUUUCAGAGCCACUGACACACCAGCAGCACAAUGAUGAUGUCACUGACUCUACUGCUGACCAUCCUGGGGCUCCUGGUUCAGGGUUCAUCAGGAGACAUCAUCCUGACUCAGACUCCUGGAUCUCAGUCUGUUGCUCCAGGACAAACUGUCUCCAUCAGAUGUAAAACCAGUUCAAGUGUUUAUAGCAACCUCCACUGGUACCUUCAGAAACCAGCAGAAGCUCCUAAACUCCUGAUCUAUGCAGCUACAACUCGUCAGUCUGGAGUUCCAGCUCGUUUCAGUGGAAGUGGAUCUGGUUCUGAUUUCACUCUGACCAUCAGUGGAGUUCAGGCUGAAGAUUCAGGAGUUUAUUACUGUCAGCAGGGUUACAGCUUCCCGUUCACACAGUGAUAGAACGUCGUACAAAAACCUCCCUCAGCUGGAGAGGAACUGAUCCGACUCAACAGAUGGAAUGAAACAAAAACACUGAACGUUUCCACAAAUUAUUUAUUUAUUUUAUUAAU